AGCGAACGCUAGCGGCGGGCCUAACACAUGCAAGUCGAGCGGAGAACUUCGGUUCUUAGCGGCGGACGGGUGAGUAACGCGUAGGUAAUGUGCCUUCUGGUGGGGAACAACCGUGCGAAAGCAUGGCUAAUACCGCAUAUGUCGAGAGAUGAAAGCCUUCGGGCGCCAGUAGAGCAGCCUGCGUCCCAUUAUUUAGUCCUAGUUGGUGAGGUAACGGCUCACCAAGGGUACGAUGGGUAGCUGGUCUGAGAGGAUGAUCAGCCACACUGGAACUGAGACACGGUCCAGACUCCUACGGGAGGCAGCAGUGGGGAAUAUUGCGCAAUGGGCGAAAGCCUGACGCAGCCACGCCGCGUGUGUGAAGAAGGCCUCGGUUGUAAG
rnacentral:rRNA from 1 species